UUAGCAGUUUAGUCAGGCACUAAAGGCAUUAUCACUUUUGCAAAUUAGUCUGACUAUAUCUCUUUCAGGUUGGAUCAUUGUCUCAAUCCUUGAGGGAUACUUCCAUUUGUUAUUUUCCAAUUAGUUUAAUUUACCUUUUCAAAUACACUUUCAUCAAUGAUUCAGUUAUUAUGGAUGAAGUUCAUAAAAAUAAUAAAGUUAUAAUGGAUGUAUUAAUGACGACUUUAAUGCAGCUCUCUUAUAUGUUUUAAUGUGAGGUUUGUAUUUGCCAAUCCUCUCUUAAGAAAAAUUUCUUCUUCUCUCAAAAUAUUUGUUCUUAAUUGACCUUGAAUGGUGCACAUCCCAUUUCUGAAGUAGCUGGCCCACUAAGAGUUUUGAGACUGUUGACAUCAGUCAAACCUAUUCAUUAAUUGUUUCUGCUUUCAUGCCACUUUGCUUGUUUUAAAAUUUGCAUGAACAGAUCCACCUGUGCUUUGUGCUGUUUGAGAUGGCCUUCUAGCUCAGUGCUGAGGCCUUAGUUCAUGGCAAUUCAGGUUUUUGUUCAGUGUUGCCUAACAGGGCGUUGACAGAAAUUUUUCAGAGUUGGGACUCAAAGUCAACUCAUUUGCUUGGCAAAAGGCAAAAGAACUGAGGCCAAGUUGAGGAAUACAACUUGAGAUCUGUAUUCCUCAAUUUGAUUUAGCAUUAAAAAGCUCAUGGUUCUUGAGAUCUAUCAUCUCUCUUAUUAUAAAUUGAGGAAAAUUUAAUCUUAUGUGUGUUUUUCUCUAGUACUCACUUGUGAUGCUUGUAAUAUGCAGACAUCUUAUUUAAAAGCAUGGA
rnacentral:misc_RNA from 1 species